AACGCACAUUGCGCCCGCCAGCAUUCUGGCGGGCAUGCCUGUUCGAGCGUCAUUUCAACCCUCAGGCCCUGCCUGGCGUUGGGGCGCCGCGGCGGCGAGAGCCCCGCGGGCCCUGAAAUACAGUGGCGAGCCCGCCUGGACUCCGAGCGUAGUAGCAACACUCGCUCAGGGCGUCCCGGCGCGCGUCGGCCGUAAAACACCCCAACUCACCAAAGGUUGACCUCGGAUCAGGUAGGAAUACCCGCUGAACUUAA
rnacentral:misc_RNA from 1 species